UGCGCCGGGGUCCGAAUGAAGCAGGACCUCCGGGUACACCGGGUCACGUCUGCCUUUUCAGAAAGAUUUAAUGGAGCUGCAGCAAAAGUAACCUCGUGCCAUAGGUGGGACCGAGGGCUUUUAUAGUAGCAGACUAUCAAAGGAACGUAAGGAAUGCGGGGUGUAAACAGAUUAGAUCUUUCUCCCCUUCUUGUAGAAAGGCCCAGGUUUCUUCCCUUUCCUCCGAGGCUUGAGAAAUUUAAAUGAAAUCCCGAAGCAUGCGUGUUACUCAAGCGCACUCCGUCCCCGGCCUGGGAUUCAAAGCCAACAAUUCACAGGUUUUUCCUGUUUAAUCAGGGGUUGUGCAGGAACUCGGUGGAGCCUUGGAACCGGAUCCACUGGCCGUUUGGGUUGAGCUGGAACGAAAUUGACCUACAGCACAUUAACCCCUCACUUUGCUAUUUCACCCGUUUGGAAGCGUCGGUCCUACAAUUACCGACGCUACCCACUGGCCAUGACUCUGCAGAAUGGAUUUCCUACCCCAAACCCACAUCCACGUGUUGGGUCUGUCCGCGCACAGGGAAGGCAGAAGGCUGAUCCUGGGGCUGAGCAGGGCCUGAAGGUCAGCAGGAGGCUCAGCACACCUGUCACAGUUGUGUGACCUGGAAGGACCCGAUAUCAGCUUGAAGUAAUCACAGAUGCUCUUUCCAGCGGCGGUUCCUGCAUUCUGAACCCUUAUUCGGUCCUGCUGGGGGGUGUUUCCCAAAGUAAGGAAUUAAACUGCGAUCGUAGGAAGGAACGCGGAGUCACAUUUUUCCUUGCAAAGGCAGCAGCUGCUGGCAGCAGCUGUAAUGGGCAGCUGUGAGCAGUAGUUAAAAGCAGAGGGGCUACGAAAGAUGCAAAUUCACAUAGAAGGCAGAGAGAGUCCUCGGGUUUCUGAACCCAGGAGCUGGGCCAACGAGGCGCACGUCGCACAGCGCAUUGAUUUGCAUUGGCCAAGCAGUGGUGUUACAGAUAUUCUACCCGCUGCACAGUGAGAAAACUCCCCUGGCUUGCUUUCCAGUAGACCAAGGCGUCUUGUUCUAGGGUAGCAUAAGGCAAAAUUCAAUUGCAGAAAACAGCACUUAAUGUUGACGGGGUCAGAGAGCCACCCGAGCGUGGUUUCUCCCAAGAAAACAUUUUGCCAUUCUUCUGAAACGCGUUCUCUUUCCACCUGUCACCGCCCUAUAGAUCAUUAGCGAUAAUUAUCCUCUUCACUUGAGCCAAAGUGAAACCGAACCAAAGCCAAAACACCAUCUCUAUUAGAGAUAGCAGAUAUCCAAAUUCCAGGGAAGCUGAUGAGAGAUUUCCUGUUGCCCUCCACGGCCUCUGGAUGCCCCGUGUUUUUUUUUAAGUUUUAAUUACAUUGAGCCUAGCAUGCCGUCUAUAUGUACACAUACAUGUAUGCACGUGGGCAUCCCUUUUACAUACAGUCUAGAAUCUCGUGUGCUGAUUUCAUCUCGAGAGGUGAUCACCUCUUUAGGCCAACGUGAUGUGGGAUGCCGGCACGCCUCCGGCACGCAGCUCUCCUCCCUCCCACCCUGCUCCACCAGCAGGCCACAGCACUGAGCAGAAAGCUGACAGCGCCCAAGGGCGGACGGCUCGCAGCCUGCCCACGGGGAUGUUCACAGACCCAGAAGCAUGUGAGCAUCGAGAAAAGAAGAAUGGGACUGCAGGAAGCCCUGCAGCUCCUGCAACUCCAGCGGGUCAUUUUUGCAAGCUCUUGUGUUCGGAAUAAAUACACACAAUAACUAGCAAGAAGCAAACGGCGACCUUAGGGCUUCCUCCGUGCGUUCAGGUUGCCCCGAACGCUUGGCACCGUGUCAGAGGGGGCUGCGAAUGAUGCUUGCCAUCUUCUUUUCGAUGAUCCUAAUCAAAGCCCCGUCUGCCUCCCGUGCCCUGCUGCAGCAUUCAUCUGAAUUUGCAGCACUGUGCCUGGCUUUGCUAGAAUUUCAGUUCCUUCCUAUAAAAAUCCCUCCCUUACGGUUGUUGGACACUCACACGCGUAUGAAAGCAUCCCAUAAAACAGGAGGAGAGCCUCUUCGUUUUCAGACAGCGUGCUGCACGUACUCCCACAGCUCAACCUGUGCACGAGUUUUACAGCUCAUCUCAGAGCAGCACCCCUCCGCACAGCCCCUUUUUUUCACCGUACGCUCAACAGAACACACAGACUCUACGUUAGCCCUCCCUUGCAGAGGGAGUCACUACGCAUCCAUCCCAUAGAGAUGGAGAUCUCCCCCCUCAGCCGCCAGCAGAGCUGGGAGCCCUGGAAGGAACAGCUGUGCUGAUGGUCGGAGGAGAAAAGCGGCACCAAGGGUUCGCAUCGCCGGGUCCAAUGUACGGCCGCAAUCGCUAUCGGUCUCCACAGGUUUUAAAAGAAGUAGAAAAUAAAUGUUUGUCCUUUUGUUCUGCUGGCAAUUUCUCUCCUGCUUCUCGAGCAACGCUACCAGCGUCUGAGCGGUCAGGAAGGUGGGAAGUCACCUGCAGCCACAGCUUUUAAUGCACAAAGGGCAGCAGCGGGAGCCACCCCGCCACCGCUCAGCCUUAUUCCAAUGACCGCAGUGCCUUUUGUUCCUGAACCACUUCCCAAGCUCCCUCAGAACAUCGCAAAGUGCAGAUAUCACCAUCCCUCGAGAAAAGCCUUCAUUAAGAAGAGAUAAAUUCAGUCACUUACUUGUUCUCUCCCGCCGUUCUCAUCCAUUAAACACACACACACGCACACACACACACACACACAAAAAAACAACAAACCCCAAACCAAACAAACCAAAGCAACUCGGCCUCGUUCACAUUAAGAAAAAUAAAAGUCGGGGUAAACGCCAGCCCCGAGUUCACCCGAUACCUUAUGAAACUCGGGGAAAACCGGGCGGAAGAGGAGCACCCCGGAGGAAUCUCGGAAGAGCGGAUUUAUUCCAAGUGCUUCGCAGCGCUGUUAUCUCCGCCUUGGCUAAGCGGAAUGCUGGUGAAAAUCUUUGCCUGGUACAGUGCGGAGCCUCUGGUUCACAGGCCAGGAAUUCUACGCUGAAUAAUUUUUAACUUCGUCUCUGGGAGGAAAAACAGAGUCUCGUACAUUCUGCCUGCUUGAGUAGGCUUUGUCUUUUUAUUGCACGGAAGGAGAGCUCCUAAUUUUCGGGGGAGGUGGGGGACGGGGACGGACACGCAGCGUGCCCUGAGCUACCCGAGGUGGGGGACACGGGGGACGGGGGCAGAGCAAAGCCGGGGGGCUUUUCAGGGGAAAUGAGAGGGCUGAGAGCGGCCUUUCGAGAAGCGUAGACAAUGAUUUCCCAGUUCUUUUUCCUCUCUUAAAAAAAUAAUUUUACCGAUGCGCAGCGAACACCAUCUACCCCACCUGGAACCGCUAAAACAACAGCAGUUAGAGAUUCUAACGGACCGUUUUGUUCUCUGAGUCGUCUUCCCUUGUUAGAGGGCUGGCUGAAAUUGGGGACGCCCCAAGAAGCAGGAGAGACUGCCUGAAGCCACGGAGUCAAGGUGCAGAGAUCUGGGGCAAGAAAUAAACCCAGGAGCGAGCCACUGUGGCUCUGCAGGAAUUACAUCACCGACUGGGAGUGCUGGGAACGAACCCCGUCUCCUGAGCUGUACCCAGGCACGCCGAGGUGGACUCGAUGACCCUAACAGGCCCUUCCAUCUCGGGUCAUUCUGUGAAAUAAAAGCUCAGAUUUCUGAGCAGAGCAUUCCUCGUGGCCUCUUCCCACCCGGAGACACGGGCCAGGACGUUGGGGACGAGGCGCUGCCCAGCAUCACCUCGAGAGGGCCACCAAACCUACGUCUGCUGGGCUCCAGGCCCACGCUCGUUCCACGUGUCCGCGGUGUUUCCAUCCACGGUAUUUCCAAAUGAUGCUUUUCUCCUGCAGGGAUGGCUCAGCCCACAGCAGCCACCGUGCGGAACGCAGCUGCCCUCUUCCACCACGAAAAGAGAAGGGGGAAGGCUUUCUGGAAGGAACACUCGGCUCCAACGGCUGCGUCUGGAACCUGCUGUCACAUAGAUCUCUAGGAGAUGCUAACAGCCACGUGUGGGUGUAACGUGGAUGCAGUCACCCCGACCGAAAGCAAAAAGCAAGAAUUGAGACGAAGGAAAACCCCACGGAACCAUACAGGUGAAUGAUGGGGCAGGUCUGGAAAGGGAGCAGCGAGGAAUGCAUUCGAGACCAUUUAAAAAGGGUUUUUGUGCGCGUGGGUCUCUACUGAAGUGUGACUUCCAAGACUCUCUCAGUGCACGUACCAGCGAAGGCUCCCCACCAGCAAUGCCCUCCUUGACAAACGCGUGCAAAUCCUCCCGCGCACCUCAAGAGAAACCUUCCCCCAGACCCCCCUCCGUCACCGGCAAGCCUCCCGGGGCUGUUUGUACAACACCGCCGCUUCCAAAGCAAACAGACGCCCUCAAACCGCAGCGGCUAUUCCAUAUUGAGAUGCAUCAAUAAAAUGUGAUUUAUAGCAUUGUCACUGGAACGUUUUGUCCUUAUCGAGCUCGAGAUAAGAUAGGAGGCAUUGAGAAAGGCUCGUUAAAGCGCAGUCUGGCAGUCAGCACAUUAACGAACUUGCUUUUUCAAAGCUUAUUAGCAAAGAGGCAACCGGUAUAAAGGAACAGCUUGCAGGAGCGGGCGCGAGCUGGGCGGUUACACCAUCGCUUCUACCUUCAAGAAGCCCACUUGUUUUAUGAUCGUGAAUUAUUCCAGAGCUCCCGUGCGGACGAAGAGCUCUCUGGGCUCCUCCCGUCCGUAUCUUUUCCUGAUUCAAAGUGCAACGGGAGUAUUUCAGAAGCUGUCGGAGUUUUUCCGCCUCUAGGAGCGCCCCGAAGCGGUUCUCGUUGGUCAGGGGGAGGUUUGCAGGGCAGAAAGCCCGGCGAUAUCGAUAGGGAAGGCCUCGCGCAAGGAAGCACCAAACCGUGCGGCGCGAGGAGACCGCACGCACGGAGCGCUCAGCCUCACAGCCCUCGGCGCGAAGUUUUCGGCCUCUGAGCCCCUCUGGCACCAACAGAACGCCGAGUUACGUCCUUCAGGUUCGGGACGUCCCCUUCUAAGUCGCUUUGCUUUCAUCCCCGUGCCCUCCGACUUCUGCCCCCCACCCUUUGCCCCGCCUCGAUGAGCCGUCCUUAUCGUCCUCUUCCUAUUUUUGAGCGUGCGUUAAGAUAAGGCAAACAGAUAAGCGAUCUCUCCCACAAAGAUUUACUUGCAUAAUCGGAACAUUUACUCCAAUCAGAGCACAAAAGACCUCAGUCUCUCCGUCCCCUUUGACUCCAUUGGUAAGGUCAAUAUUUGCCCGGCGGUCGCUCCCACCGCCCAGGCAGCGGGACGGACACGACAGCAGACAUCGGGAGACAGAUCGCUUUUCAUCACGCGGUCUGCAAGCGGACAAGCGUUGCAGAAGUCACCACGAGAGAAACGACAGCACGGGAGCUGUCGACCCAAGGGCGCGGGGAAUUCCCCCGCUUGAAACGUUAAACACCAGGGUCGGGCGCCUUCUAGGAAGGCGCGUCUCCACGUACGGAUGGCGGCUAUUUAGUCCCCAGCGCCCCGAGCGUGAGACGCACGUUACACGCGCCGCUUCCCCUCUCCUUCCCCAGAUCCCCAAAUCCUCCCAUCCCGCGGCCGCACGUCCUCCCCGCCAGCCUCCCGCGUCUCUCUAUUUAUCUGCCGCCAGCAGAGUUCUCAGAACCAGCUUUCCCCAUCCCGGCGGGACGCGGUCAACAAAGCCCUCAGCUUCGCGUGGAGGGCGCGACGCGUAGGCGAACCAUUUAAGGGCAAGGCGCUCCUAUGGCCAAAGCCAUCCCAAAUGCCGGGUCUGAAGGAGGGCGCUCCGUAAAGGAGCAAGAGGAACGGCCACCCAAGAGCCAUUCUCCGCUCCCCACGGGCACUGCAGGACCUCGGGCUCGUCGGUCGACCCAGAUCACGACCCCACAGGCUUGAGCGUGGCGAACGGCUGCUGACACCUGGCGGUGAGGUCCGGGGGCCAAACCGGCGCUCCGGGGGACGGAGGCGGCUGCAGGGGUUCUUACGGGCAACAUCUGCAGAGAGAUGGGGUACAGGGAAAGAGCGCAGCUGCUAAUCAGGGGUUCAAAACCGUCACACGAAGCGGCUCUGGGAGAAGAGACGCGACGGCUUUAGGAGUCGUCGUCCGCAAGCUGAACCCCACCGCAGCCGCUUGGGACAGGGGGAAGCAUCCAGCAGCCAAAGCGCUUGGGGAAAAGGAGGCGGCACCAGACAAAGCAUCUCUUCGGAGGCUUUAAAGCCCAUUUGACGUCUGCUUGCAAAUGGGAGGAAUCAUUAGGAACGUACGUGAAGCGAUUAGCGAACAUCCACAUCUAUUAGGCAUAAAGGAAAAAUAACCGGACCCAAAUAGCUGUCAGAAUGGCUCCCUUUGCUCCUUUACGUUAUUUGAGCUGCUCGUUUGCAGAAACUCAAUCUCGGGUCUUUAAAUGAGCAUACGGUGGGGAAACAAGAGGGAAAGGCAAAACGUUUCCGCCCGGCUUUAGGCGCAGAGCGGGCUUCGCGCGACGAGAGCAGGGAGGUCGCGGAACGUAAACACAGUAAUUAAGGCGCUCAUUCUAAUUGCAGGCAGUUAACUGUGCCGCACGCUGCAUUACCGAGCCACCCUAGGCACCGCACCGUUGGAAAUCCCUCACGCGUCCUUUAGCCCGGCUUUGGGGAUCUUCCGUACCCACGCGGGCUUUUCAUCCUCGCUCAACUGUUCGGUAUUGGAAUCGGGCCCCUUCGUUUUCUUACAGUACAACGUAUUCACAAUACAUUUGGUUUCCAACCAAACCUUCGGAUCCACCCGAGCAGCUCAGCCCACACGUCUCCCUUCGGCUGCGGGGUGAGAUAAAGCCCUCCGUGCCGAACACGAAGAGGGAACGCGGAUAACUCAAGAAAUUGCGAGCGCCCGUCCCGUCCCGUCCCAUCCCAUCCUCGUGGCGCUCGCGGGGCCGCGCGGGUACCACUAGGUGUCACCCCGCGCCCGCCGACGGUCCCGGCGCCGCCGCAGGGUGACCUCGCGGGGCGGUGACCGUCGCUUGCUUCCAAGCGCUGCCUCACGUCGCCCCGAGGGAGGCUCGGUGGAACAUUAGGAGGAAUUUCUUUUCCGACGGAGCGGCGGUGCGUCGGCCGCCCGGGGAGGCGGGGCCGUCCCCAUCCCCGGAGGCGUCCGACGCGGAGACGCGGGCGGGAUUGGCGGUAGGUGGGCUGUUGGACUGGAUGACCUUGGAGGUCAUUUCCAGCCUCAAGGAUUCGACGCCGCCACGAUUCUAAGCGAGAUGGUGGGGUUUGUCUCUGAGCGGCGUGCUGACCGGGGACGCUGGGACCGCGCAGCAGCGCAGGCUGGCGGAGCCACGCAGCUGCCUGGCUGUCCUUGGAGAGGAGCAGCCUCUGGCAGCUCAUCCGCGCUAUCCCGUCACAUCCUCCUCGCUGCCGCAGCUCCCUUCGUCCGGGUCUGGACAACGCACAGAUAGAGAGCAGGAGGCACCAGAGCCGAACUGCUCUGGUGAGACAGAGCCCCCUCCCACGACAUUAGGCUCACAGGGACGCUGACGCCGAUGCAUCGGGUUUUCUGCCGCCUCGGGCCGAGGCUUUGCUGGAACACACGAACCUAACAGACGGAACCCCCCUCAAAUCGUCGCGCUUCGAAACGCACCCAGCAACACCCGUCCCCAGCGGAGCCAGCUCCCGCCCCACGUCCGAGCUGGCUUCCAUCAGACGAAGCCAGGGAUGCGGAGGAGCUGGUUAGCAUCCCCGCACGGCAGCAAGCCUGAGAAGCUCAUUAGCGCCUGUUCGCCGCUUUCCGAGAGGAGAUUCUGAGUGUCAGCGGUAAACUCAUUUCACGGAGUCGCACUUCAUUUGCAGCGAUGGAUGUUUGGUGAGAGCUCCAGUGAGGAUCAGCUGGAAGGAAGCACCUGGAGGCAGCGGCAGGCACGGGACUGCAGAGGUGAGCUCCGGGGGUCUGGGCGAGCCCGUUCCCUCAGCCCCAGACCCCCGGGGCUCCCGGCCUAUAGCAGGAGGCUCGUUCUGCUUUUCUCUCGGGGUCAAUGCAGCGCUGCUGCUGGGCUCUCCAUCUUCUUUUUGCGGGGGUUAAGAGAGGGGUGCUCCCUAAGACCAAGCAGA